UGACGGUAUGUGCAGUAAAAGCACCGGCUAACUACGUGCCAGCAGCCGCGGUAAUACGUAGGGUGCAAGCGUUAAUGGGAAUUACUGGGCGUAAAGCGUGUGUAGGCGGUUGGGAAAGAAAGAUGUGAAAUCCCAGGGCUCUAGGAUGGAACUGCAUUUUUAACUGCCGAGCUAGAGUAUGUCAGAGGGGGGUAGAAUUCCACGUGUAGCAGUGAAAUGCGUAGAUAUGUGGAGGAAUACCGAGGCGAAGGCAGGCCCCUGGGAUAAUACUGACGCUCAGACACGAAAGCGUGGGGAGCAAACAGGAUUAGAUACCCUGGUAGUCCACGCCCUAAACGAUGUCAACUAGCUGUUGGGGCCGUUAGGCCUUAGUAGCGCAGCUAACGCGUGAAGUUGACCGCCUGGGGAGUACGGUCGCAAGAUUAAAACUCAAAGGAAUUGACGGGGACCCGCACAAGCGGUGGAUGAUGUGGAUUAAUUCGAUGCAACGCGAAAAACCUUACCUACCCUUGACAUGUGUGGAAAGCCGAAGAGAUUUGGCUGUGCUCGCAAGAGAACCGGAACACAGGUGCUGCAUGGCUGUCGUCAGCUCGUGUCGUGAGAUGUUGGGUUAAGUCCCGCAACGAGCGCAACCCUUGUCAUUAGUUGCUACGCAAGAGCACUCUAAUGAGACUGCCGGUGACAAACCGGAGGAAGGUGGGGAUGACGUCAAGUCCUCAUGGCCCUUAUGGGUAGGGCUUCACACGUCAUACAAUGGUCGGGACAGAGGGUCGCCAACCCGCGAGGGGGAGCCAAUCUCAGAAACCCGAUCGUAGUCCGGAUCGCAGUCUGCAACUCGACUGCGUGAAGUCGGAAUCGCUAGUAAUCGCGGAUCAGAAUGUCGCGGUGAAUACGUUCCCGGGUCUUGUACACACCGCCCGUCACACCAUGGGAGUGGGUUUCACCAGAAGUAGGUAGCCUAACCGGAAGGAGGGCGCUUACCACGGUGGGAUUCAUGACUGGG
rnacentral:rRNA from 1 species